rnacentral:lncRNA from 1 species
UAAUGAUUUUUCUUGUUUAUAGAUAAGGAAGAGAAGGACAAGGGGACGACACAAGUCGACGAACACCCUGGAAGUUGAAUAUCAAGAAAUUGUGUUGAGGUAGGGGAGUUUUAAUCAAAACUAAAAUAUUUUGGUUUUUCAUUUUUACUUGAUCAAGGAUUGAUGACAUUUGAACAUUUUUUAAGCUUACUUAAAAUGUUUUCUUUUUCGAUUAUGUGAAAGAAGUGGAGAAAAUAUUUCACUAUGGUUUGAUCUAAAUGAUUCGAAUUCCGUUACUACAACUUUGGUGAGUUUAAAGUGAUUGAAAUGAUUUUUUUCAAGAUUUUGUUUUGAUGUGCAUGCCUCUUAUUUUACUCAAUACCAAAUAUUGAAGCAUCUCAAUACGAAUGUUCAAAUUGUGAAAGUAGAUGGAAAGUAGUGUAAUACCUGUGCAGUUGAGAAUGUUGAGAAAUGUAUGAAUGGGCACAAUGACCCGUGAAGUUGUUUGAUUAUGGGCACAAUGACCCAAGGUUCCCCGGGGAAAGCUCCAUGUGUGGGGGCUGUGAGAAUGAGUUACGAAAGUGAUAAAUACAUGUGAUAUGUGUAUUGGCCAGGUAUAUUACGGUUCUUUCCAAUCUGCUUGUCACUUGUUUGGGAUAAAAGAAGAUCUUUGUGAUUUGGUGUGCUAGUGAUUCUUUAAAUGAUAAUGGCUUUGUUAUCCUUAUGAAAAAAGAAGUGAUUUUUGAACUUGUGUGUUGUACCGUUAUUAUCAAGCUGCUAAUGCUCCGAAACCUUUGGUUUUUCUGUCAUAUGUUACUUUCCAUAAAUUUUUAAAUUGUUGGAUUACGUGGUGGUGAAAAUAAACCGUUUUGAAUCACUUUUAUUACUUUCGGCAUGCACUAGAGAUUUUAAAUGACUAUGGACUUACCCCUACUGGGCAUUUUAUGCUCACCCCGUUUUUCUACACAUGUACUUUCAGGUGUGUAGGGUCGACUAGCUGAUUUUCAAGUGGCAGCUCUAGUGUGGGUUAGAUAACGGGAGUCCAGGCGUACACUUCUUUUGGGUGAGCUGCCAAAGUGUUUGAAUAGUUAGUUUUUGUUUGUAAAUGAUCAUUUUGUGGCGUAGUAGACUAAAAUGAUGUCGACCUCGGUGGGUUGGAGAUUCUACUUACCUGGGCUAUGAAAAUCAUGUAUAUAUAACUACUCGUCUUUUGGCUUGUAUAGUUUUGCUCAUGUACAUUUUCCUCAAAUGGCCUGAAAAUGUUUUCUUGUUAGAAGACCUAAAGGUCUUUUGUGAACUUAUUUUAAUUAGUAAGGUUUUAUGAAUGGCUCUUGAAGAACCACUAUGAACUUGGUUAUGUUUAAAAUUGUGGGUGUGUAUCUAUUACCUAAGUGGAAUGUUGCAAAAAUUCAGAUUUUUGUUCUUUGGAAUAUAAAUAGUUUUGUUUGCAAAGUAAUUUGGAGCUGCUGAAAUUGUUCUUACAGGAAAACAGCAGCAUGCCUGUUUUAGUUUUAACAUUUUCCUAUACUUACCGAACUCGAAAAUUAAUGAAAUUUUGACACAACUUAGUUUCGUGGGUCUACAUUGGAUCUGGAAAUUUUCAUGCAUUUUGGUUGAACAAGCUAUUUUCGGUGAAUUUUACGGUUCAGGUCGCUUUUGUAGUUUGUAUUACCAUGAGACCUUUAACUCUAUUUCUUUAAAUUGAUUUUUGUAGUUUAACUUUAUGGAAAUUGGGGGAUUUAACUUUUCGUCAACAUAAUCUUAAGAUGAAAUUUGUUUUGCAUCCUUAAACGACCACUUUGUUCUAUUUAUUUUACUUAAUCUCACAUCUCAAGUUUUGGGGUGUGACACAAACCAAACCAAAUGACAACAUGCAUACGUAAGAAAAUUUAAUCAAAUCACACUUGUACACGCCACUCAUUGUACAUAUUCAUACCAAAGUGUUUCUCCAUGUAGUCCAUUCUUGUGUAGGUUGAACAGUCUCAAUCAUAUCUUCAUCAUCAUCACUACUUUCAGAUUCGUCCAAGUUUAGGAUUUCAUUUUCUAUUGGAUCAGCUGACAUAUGCCUUUUAAUAAUAUUAUGUAAUAGGCAUCAGGCUGUCAUAAUCUUAAGUUGUGUUUUAAUUGGGAAAAAUGAUGGACCUCUUAAGAUGCUCCAACGCAUCUUAAGUAAUCCAAAACAUCUCUCAAUGACAUUUCUAGCUUGAGCAUGUUUCAUAUUGAAAUACACUUCAUGAUUAAUCAGGAGUCUUCUAUUUCUCCACUCCGAGAGAUGGUAACGCACUCCCUUAUACAGUGCAAGGUAUCCUGGACCAUUUGUGUACCCACCAUCCACAAGGUAGUAACACCCUAACACACCAAAAAUGUAUAUUACUAUAUAUAAGAAAAAUGAGGAUUCAAAUUACUAAUAUAAACAAAUAAUCUAUUGUUACCCGUGGGAACUUUUAAUCCCGAUGGUCUACUUAUCGCAUCUCGGAGUACUCUAGAAUCAGAGGCCAACCCUUCCCAACUUGGGUACACAAAUAUAAAAUUCAUGCCUAGAUUACAAACUCCCAACAUAUUGGUCGCAAUCUCUCCCUUCCUUGAUCGGUAUCUUGGUUUAUCUCGCUCAGGGACAUGACCGUUAAUGUAAGUCCCAUCCAAUGUCCCCAAGCAAUUCUAAAAAAAAUCAUUAACAUUAGUAAGCUCAAUAUAUUUAAUUACAUUAAUUUUAGAAGUAAUUUUUAUAAAAUAUGAAGAAUACCUCAAACCAACUUCAUUUAGCAUUUGGAUAGGCAUUAGGAAUGGGUUCUGGCACUUUCAAAAGUCUACCUUGUAGCCUUAACACUCCAUGUAGAAUGGAAUUGAAAUACCUACUUAUGGUCUCCCCCGAUCGACAAAACCUACACCCAAUUGUACGAUUCUUGACAUGAUGUGCAAGUAUAUGCAAAAACAUGCAAACUUAUUCUUCCAUUGUCACUACACCAUCCAAUUUUACUCUACCGUGGUCACGAAGCAUUUGACAUAAAUAAUGGAACGUUCUUCUAUCCAUUCUAAUUUGGUUCAUACACUGAACAUCAUCAUAUCCUAUUAUGAUGUCUAAAUAGGCUAACCCUACCAUUCUCCUAACAAAUGUGCUAUUUCUAAGUGCAAGUUGCCGAUUCUGCCUUCUAGCUGAAUUAUGAUUCAUCAUGAACCACAUCAUCAACCAAGUCACAAUAUUCAAGUACCACAACUUAACAAUGAAGCAUGCCACAAUCUUUCUUUGAUCCAUGUCUAGUGAAAAUAUAAAAUAACAUUAUUAGAUAGUGGCAAAAAAUUAAGUAACUAGAGCAUGAAUGCAUAAUAACACUAAAAACGGAAGGAAACAUGUUAAUAAGUCCUACCAAAAAAUGUCAUAGGCAGAUAAUAAAUCCUACAGACUGUUGGGGUGAUCAGAAGGAAAAAUUACAAUGAAAUCAGAAAGAUGUCUUAACAUUCAUCAAUCAAGGAAACAUGUUACGAAUCGAAUUCAAAAAAUCAAAACACCAAGUUCCGGUGAGAAAAGAAGUCUAGUCUAUGAUGGCACUUUGUACGACCUCAAAGCAUUAUAUAUUCAUCACCUCAUGUUGCAUUAAAAUUGAGUGUCAUGUUGCAUCAAAAUUAAGCCGUAACAUCAGAAGAGCAGCAACUCUCCAUUUCUUCUCUAUUUCUCACUCACACUCUUUUUUCUAAAAGGCAAUUACUUUACAAAGUGGAAUAAAUGCCAAUCAACAAUUCAACAACCCUAGUCCAAAAUUAUUCACACA